ACCCGCUGAACUUAAGCAUAUCAAUAAGCGGAGGAAAAGAAACCAACAGGGAUUGCCCUAGUAACGGCGAGUGAAGCGGCAACAGCUCAAAUUUGAAAUCUGGCUCUUUUAGAGUCCGAGUUGUAAUUUGCAGAGGGCGCUUUGGCUUUGGCAGCGGUCCAAGUUCCUUGGAACAGGACGUCACAGAGGGUGAGAAUCCCGUACGCGGUCGCUGGCUAUUGCCGUGUAAAGCCCCUUCGACGAGUCGAGUUGUUUGGGAAUGCAGCUCUAAAUGGGAGGUACAUUUCUUCUAAAGCUAAAUAUUGGCCAGAGACCGAUAGCGCACAAGUAGAGUGAUCGAAAGAUGAAAAGCACUUUGGAAAGAGAGUCAAACAGCACGUGAAAUUGUUGAAAGGGAAGCGCUUGCAGCCAGACUUGCUUACAGUUGCUCAUCCGGGCUUUUGCCCGGUGCACUCUUCUGUAGGCAGGCCAGCAUCAGUUUGGGCGGUAGGAUAAAGGUCUCUGUCACGUACCUCUCUUCGGGGAGGCCUUAUAGGGGAGACGACAUACUACCAGCCUGGACUGAGGUCCGCGCAUCUGCUAGGAUGCUGGCGUAAUGGCUGU
rnacentral:rRNA from 1 species